rnacentral:rRNA from 1 species
AACGAACGCUGGCGGCGUGCCUAACACAUGCAAGUCGAACGAGAAAGGGGCUUCGGCUCCGAGUAAAGUGGCGCAUGGGUGAGUAACACGUGGGUAACCUGCCUCUAAGAUUGGGAUAACCCGUCGAAAGAUGAGCUAAUACCGAAUAAGACCACAGUUUCUGCGGGGACAGAGGUGAUAGGUAGCCUCUGCUUGCAAGCUAUCACUUAGAGAUGGGCCUGCGCACCAUUAGCGAGUUGGUAGGGUGACGGCCUACCAAGGCAAAGAUGGUUAGCUGGUCUGAGAGGAUGAGCAGCCACACUGGAACUGCGACACGGUCCAGACUCCUACGGGAGGCAGCAGGGGGGAAUAUUGCGCAAUGGGCGAAAGCCUGACGCAGCAACGCCGCGUGAGUGAUGAAGGCCUUCGGGUCGUAAAGCUCUGUCGGGAGGAACGAAUGCUCCUGAGGUUAACAGCCUCGGGAGGUGACGGUACCUUCAAAGGAAGCACCGGCUAACUCUGUGCCAGCAGCCGCGGUAAGAC